GCGGGACCUUGGGUACGCGGGCCUGCCAGAGGCAUAAGGGGCAGGCUGUUGCUGGGCAGGGAUGAGGAAGAGAUGGGUAUUCCAUCAUCCACAACCAGGAAGCAUCCAGUGUCUUUUCCUUUGGGGGAGCUGAGGAGGAGACAGUGUCAUCUGCUGGAGAUGUGGCCUGAGGAAACAGAAAGGAUAAAUCCUGGGAGACUCCUGAAAAAUAAAUUCCAGCUCGGACACAAUUCCAGGUGGUUCUCUUCCAUGGAACUCUAAGUGCCAAGGAAAUAAAUUCUGCCAACCACCUGGGUGCAUGCAUUUGGAAAGAGAUUCUCAGCCAAACCUCCAGAUGACAAUUCAACUGAGCAAACACGUUGAUCGCUGCUUUGUGAGAUCCUACACGGACGACCCAGCUAAACCAUGCAUGACUUCCUACCACACAGAAAUCAUGGAAUAAUA